GCCGGGUGUGGUGGCGGGCACCUGUAAUCCCAGCUACAUUGGGGGCUGAGACUGGAGGAUGACUUGAGCCUGGGAGGUUGAGGCUGCAGUGAGCCAAGACUGUGCCACUGCACUUCAGCCUGGGCAAUAGAGUGAGACCCUGUCUCAA
ensembl:misc_RNA Metazoa_SRP Metazoan signal recognition particle RNA